rfam:TPA: Bos taurus chromosome 11, whole genome shotgun sequence.
UCCCUCUUAGCUCAGUUGGUAAAGAAUCUGCCUGCAAUGCAGGAGACCCUGGUUAGAUUCCUGGAUCGGGAA